AACGCUAGCUACAGGCUUAACACAUGCAAGUCGAGGGGAAACGAUAGAGAAAGCUUGCUUUUUCUAGGCGUCGACCGGCGCACGGGUGAGUAACGCGUAUCCAACCUGCCCACCACUUGGGGAUAACCUUGCGAAAGUAAGACUAAUACCCAAUGACGUCUCUAGAAGACAUCUGAAAGGGAUUAAAGAUUUAUCGGUGAUGGAUGGGGAUGCGUCUGAUUAGCUUGUUGGCGGGGUAACGGCCCACCAAGGCAACGAUCAGUAGGGGUUCUGAGAGGAAGGUCCCCCACAUUGGAACUGAGACACGGUCCAAACUCCUACGGGAGGCAGCAGUGAGGAAUAUUGGUCAAUGGGCGAGAGCCUGAACCAGCCAAGUAGCGUGCAGGAUGACGGCCCUAUGGGUUGUAAACUGCUUUUAUAAGGGAAUAAAGUGAGCCUCGUGAGGCUUUUUGCAUGUACCUUAUGAAUAAGGACCGGCUAAUUCCGUGCCAGCAGCCGCGGUAAUACGGAAGGUCCGGGCGUUAUCCGGAUUUAUUGGGUUUAAAGGGAGCGUAGGCCGGAGAUUAAGCGUGUUGUGAAAUGUAGAUGCUCAACAUCUGCACUGCAGCGCGAACUGGUUUCCUUGAGUACGCACAAAGUAGGCGGAAUUCGUGGUGUAGCGGUGAAAUGCUUAGAUAUCACGAAGAACUCCGAUUG
rnacentral:rRNA from 1 species